rnacentral:rRNA from 1 species
UACAGAGGGUGCAAGCGUUAAUCGGAGUUACUGGGCGUAAAGGGCGCGUAGGCGGUGAGAUGAGUGUGAUGUGAAAGCCCCGGGCUUAACCUGGGAAGUGCAUCGCAAACGAUCUGACUGGAGUAUAAGAGAGGGUGGCGGAAUUUCCGGUGUAGCGGUGAAAUGCGUAGAGAUCGGAAGGAACGUCAAUGGCGAAGGCAGCCACCUGGCUUAAUACUGACGCUGAGGCGCGAGAGCGUGGGGAGCGAACAGGAUUAGAUACCCUGGUAGUCCACGCUGUAAACGAUGAAGACUAGAUGUUGAUUGGGGAACCAAGCAGUAUCGAAGCUAACGCGAUAAGUCUUCCGCCUGGGAAGUACGGCCGCAAGGUUGAA